UGACGGUACCUGGAGAAAAAGCAACGGCUAACUACGUGCCAGCAGCCGCGGUAAUACGUAGGUUGCAAGCGUUGUCCGGAUUUACUGGGUGUAAAGGGCGUGUAGGCGGAGCUGCAAGUCAGAUGUGAAAUCCCGGGGCUCAACCCCGGAACUGCAUUUGAAACUGUAGCCCUUGAGUAUCGGAGAGGCAAGCGGAAUUCCUAGUGUAGCGGUGAAAUGCGUAGAUAUUAGGAGGAACACCAGUGGCGAAGGCGGCUCUCUGGUCUGUAACUGACGCUGAGGUUCGAAAGCGUGGGUAGCAAACAGGAUUAGAUACCCUG
rnacentral:rRNA from 1 species